rnacentral:rRNA from 1 species
AACGUAGGAGACAAACGUUAUCCGGAGUUACUGGGCGUAAAGGGCGUGUAGGUGGUUUCGUAAGUCUGGCGCGAAAUAUCUCGGCUUAACCGAGGCAGGUCGUCGGAUACUGCGGAACUAGAGGACGGUAGAGGCGUGUGGAAUUCCGGGUGUAGUGGUGAAAUGCGUAGAGAUCCGGAGGAACACCAGUGGCGAAGGCGACACGCUGGGCCGUACCUGACACUGAUGCGCGACAGCAUGGGGAGCAAACAGG